rnacentral:tRNA from 1 species
UCCAGGGUAGCCUAGUGGACAUGGCAUCUGCCCGGUAAGCGGAACACUGUGAGUUCGAUUCCCAUUCCUUAGCA